rnacentral:rRNA from 1 species
UCUGGGAUAGCCACCGGAAACGGUGAUUAAUACCGGAUACCACAACCGAUUGCAUGAUCUGGUUGUGGAAAGUUUUUCGGCCUGGGAUGUGCUCGCGGCCUAUCAGCUUGUUGGUGAGGUAAUGGCUCACCAAGGCUUCGACGGGUAGCCGGCCUGAGAGGGUGACCGGCCACACUGGGACUGAGACACGGCCCAGACUCCUACGGGAGGCAGCAGUGGGGAAUAUUGGACAAUGGGCGGAAGCCUGAUCCAGCAACGCCGCGUGAGGGAUGACGGCCUUCGGGUUGUAAACCUCUUUCAGCACAGACGAAGCGCAAGUGACGGUAUGUGCAGAAGAAGGACCGGCCAACUACGUGCCAGCAGCCGCGGUAAUACGUAGGGUCCGAGCGUUGUCCGGAAUUAUUGGGCGUAAAGGGCUCGUAGGCGGUCUGUCGCGUCGGGAGUGAAAACCAGGUGCUUAACACCUGGCCUGCUUUCGAUACGGGCAGACUAGAGGUACUCAGGGGAGAAUGGAAUUCCUGGUGUAGCGGUGAAAUGCGCAGAUAUCAGGAGGAACACCGGUGGCGAAGGCGGUUCUCUGGGAGUAUCCUGACGCUGAGGAGCGAAAGUGUGGGGAGCGAACAGGAUUAGAUACCCUGGUAGUCCACACCGUAAACGUUGGGCGCUAGGUGUGGGACACAUUCCACGUGUUCCGUGCCGCAGCUAACGCAUUAAGCGCCCCGCCUGG